AUGGAGCUUCUGCUGACAGCUCUCCUCAUCCUGAGCUCGCGGACGGCCCGAUCGGAGGAGGACAGAGACACUCUGUGGGACGCCUGGGGCUCCUGGAGUGAAUGCUCCCGGACGUGUGGAGGAGGCGCGUCGUACUCGCUCAGACGAUGCCUCAGUUCCAAGACCUGCGAGGGGCAGAAUAUCAAAUAUCGCACAUGCAGUAAUGUGGAUUGCCCUCCAGAUGCCGGGGAUUUUCGCGCCCAGCAGUGUUCAGCUCAUGCAGACGUGCGCUACCAGGGUCAGUACCACGAGUGGCUGCCUGUGUACAACGACCCGGACAACCCCUGCGCUCUCAAGUGCAAAGCCAAGGGCUCGGGCCUCGUGAUGGAGCUGGCCCCAAAGGUCCUGGAUGGGACUCGCUGUUACACCGAGUCCUUGGACAUGUGCAUCAGUGGAGUCUGCCAGAUUGUGGGUUGCGAUCAUGAGCUGGGGAGCACAGCAAAGGAGGACAACUGUGGUGUCUGCAAUGGAGAUGGUUCCUCCUGCAGACUGGUGCGGGGACACUACAAAUCCCAGCAUGCAUCAGGAAAAACCGAGGACACGGUUGUCGUCAUCCCCUACAAGAGUCGCCAUGUGCGUCUGGUCCUGAAAGGCCCGGAUCACUUGUACGUGGAGAGUAAGACCCUACAAGGGAUAAAAGGUGAGCUGGACUUGGAUAGAUCAGGGCAGCACCACCUGGAGAACACCACCUUGGACUUCCAGAAACUUUCAGAUAAGGAGGUCCUGAGAAUCACGGGUCCACUCGGAGCUGACUUCACAGUCAAAUUAGCGGGUGGAGCGGACAGUGUGGUGCAGUACAUCUACUACCAGCCCAUCAUCCACCGCUGGAGGGAGACCGACUUCUUCCCGUGCUCCGUCACAUGUGGUGGAGGGUACCAGCUCACCUCUGCAGAGUGCUUUGACCUCCGGAGCAGCCGUGUGGUCGUGGAUCAGUAUUGCCAUUAUUACCCUGAAAACAUCAAACCGAAACCGAAACUCCAGGAGUGCAACAUGGAGCCCUGUCUGGCCAGAUGGGAGAGCAGUCCCUGGACCGCCUGCUCCACCUCCUGCGGCGGAGGCAUCCAGAGUCGCUCAGUAUCCUGUGUGGAGGAGGACAUGCAGGGUGUCAUCACCCCCACGGAGGAGUGGAAGUGUCUCUACUCCCCCAAGACCGCCAUCCUGCAGCCCUGCAACACCUUCGACUGCCCCGUCUGGCUGGCACAGGAGUGGUCGCCCUGCACUGUGACCUGUGGGCAGGGCCUGCGCUACAGGGUGGUGUUGUGCAUCGAUCACAGAGGACUCCACGCUGGAGGCUGCAACCCCACCACCAAACCCCACAUCAAGGAGGAGUGCCUGGUGACUGUGCCCUGCUAUAAGUCCAUAGAUACGCUCCCAGUCGAGGCAAAACCUGUGUGGCAUAAGCAGGCCAUCGAGCUGGACGAGGAGAUCACCGUCACCGAGGAGCCAACCUUCAUCCCUGGUCCCUGGCAGACCUGCAGCAGGACAUGUGGCGCCGGGAUCCAGCAACGAACCGUCAAGUGCCAGGUGCUGCUGUCCUUCUCCCAGACUGUUGCUGACCUGCCCGAUGACGAGUGCGAGGGGGUCAAACCUGCAGCAAGUCAGCCCUGCUACCGCACUCCCUGCUCUGGUGUUUCAGGCAAAGAGAAAGAAAGUGAAAAGGAAGAGGAGGAGGAGGAGGAGACGCCUGAGAGAGAAGAGCUGCACGACUGGGAGUAUGAGGGCUUCACAGAGUGUUCAGAGAGCUGUGGUGGAGGUGUGCAGGAGGCCGUCGUCAUCUGCCUCAACAAGCAGACCAGGGAGGCAGCAGACCAGAGCCUGUGUGUGAGCUCCCGACGGCCACCGCAACUCCUCCAGGACUGCAAAACUCAGCCCUGCCCACCAAGGUGGGAUGCUGGAGAGUGGAGUUCAUGCUCUGCUACCUGUGGGGUUGGUCUAAUGACCCGGACUGUGGCGUGUACUCACCGACCCUCUCGGGACAGCAACCGCACUGAGGUUUUGAGGGAUGAAGACUGUCAGAACCCAAAACCCAGUCCUGUCCAAGCCUGCAACCGCUUUGACUGCCCUCCAACGUGGGACACACCUGAGUGGGGACAGUGCUCCCGGAGCUGUGGUGGUGGAUUUCAAAGGAGGCAGGUCUUGUGCAAACAGCGGUUGGCGGAUGGCAGCAUCCUGGAGCUGCCUGACACCUUCUGCUCUUCCAGGACUCCUUCAAACCAGCAGCCCUGUGCCAAGAAAGAGUGCCCACCUCAGUGGGUCACAACGGACUGGUCACAGUGUUCAGUGAGCUGUGGAAGUGGCAUUCAGAGACUACAGGCGGUCUGCAGAAAACAAGGGGAAGAUGGGACACACUGGAACGUGGACCCUGAGAACUGUUCCCUGAUGGAACGGCCCACCAGAAUCCGGCCAUGCUCCCUCAGGCUCUGUGAGAGUAAGAGACCCUCUUCCGUCAAGGCGGAUCCGACCAUCCUGGCCCAGAGGAAGGUGUAUAUCCAGUGGAGGAAGGGCAAGAAGUUGCACUUGGUAGUGGGAGGUUACGCCUACCUCCUCCCUUGGACAACUGUGGUCCUUCGCUGCCCAACCCGACACUUCCGCAAGGGCCACAUCCGAUGGUUGAAGGACGGGAAGCCCUUGGUCGGCCUUCCACACCUCUCCAUAACAUCACUCGGAUACGUGAAGAUGCAGCAGGUUCGUGCAUCAGAUGCAGGGAUAUACACGUGUGUUGCAGGUCUGGCACAAGAACAUUUUGUCCUGCAAAUUAUUGGCAGCAAGCAGAAGCUCUCUGUCCCAGAGUCAUGGCGUCAUGGCGCAGACGGACAGCAAAAGGUUCGGCAGUCAGAUCUGGCCUCAUCAGGAGAAAGAUUCCAGGAGCUUCCCAUCUCCCUCAACCAGUACGACAAUAUAGUCGAGCAUUUGCUUGAACUCAAAGGUUCGCUCCAAGAGGGAAAAGACAUUGCUGAUAAGCAGCACUCCAGUGAAAAGAACAGAUCGACCCUGGAAGAUGACAGCUCAGAACUUUCAAGCCUGCUCGUUCUCACCGCCGAUGCCCACAGGCUCGAUGAGAUCACGCACAGCCUCUCUGAAGGCCUCGGAGGACCGUGGGGGGAACAGCUCAUCGCUCAGCUGCUCAGUGAGCUCACCACGACUCAAGGUGAAACCAAUGAGUCCACUCUUCAUCCCCCGGGAAGUGCAGAGUCCUCCACGCAAGUUCCUCUCCUUUACAAACCGAACAUUAAAGCACACACAUCCAGGCCAAGAAACCCGGUGAUCGUCCAGCGGUCCAGGAAGGUCGGAGCUGUGCCGUCAGCUGACAUGAUAGUUUAUGUGGGAGUCCCAGUUCUGGUGCAGAAAGCCACUUCUAGUCUGGAGCUGAGGUGUGAAGCGCUGGGGAACCCUGAACCGUCCCGAACAUGGACAAAGAAUGGAAAAGAGUUGCACUACAACAGCAGAGUAGGCCUGUUGCCCACCGGCUCACUGAGGAUCCAGUCUCCAAGCAGAGUAGAUGAGGGUCUGUACACCUGCACGGCAAGGAACCGUCACGGUUCAGCUGCUCUUUCAUCCUGGCUGCAGAUUUCAGGUGAGAAAAACAAAGACAGAAUGUUGCUGCAAGUUACAGUCCAGUUUUCCUCACUGUGUGGUUGUAUUAGGUGGCGAGUGGAUCCCUGGUCAUCGUGCUCAGCCACUUGUGGGGGCGGAUCCCAGACCAGGAGUGUCCGCUGCACGAAGGGUCCUGAGGGCAGAUCAAGAGAGUUGGGGAGCAAGCACUGCCUCGGCACGGGGAGGAAACCCUCACAGACCAGGCAGUGCAACCAGCUGCCCUGCGCCAGGUGGGCUGUUACCCACUGGGGACCGUGUCACGGUCAGUGUGUGGGCCCCAGUGUCGCCACGCAGCACCGCCAUGUUUACUGCCAAGACACCAACGCCACCAAAGUCUCUCAUAAGAUGUGCGGUGGACUCCAGAGGCCCAGCUCUGUGAAGAACUGCUCCACAGAGGCCUGCGCCCUGCACUGGCAUGUAGGUCCGUGGACGCAGUGCACCGCCACCUGCGGACGCCACGGUUUCCAGUCACGCCACGUGACCUGCGCGCACCGUCGAACCGGAAAGGCCGCGCGGGAGCAUCACUGCAUGUGGAGGCCACGCCCUCCCAGCUGGCAGCGAUGCAAUAUCUUGUCCUGUGGCAGAGGAGAGUGUCAGGACAGCACGAGGUACUGUGAGAAGGUCCGACAGCUGGAGCUGUGUCCGCUGCCCCAGUUCAAGAGCCGCUGCUGUCACUCCUGUCGGAACACCUGAGGCCGGGACGCGAGUCGAGGGCCGUUAACAAGCUGGACAGGUCAGGGAAGAUCCUCCGACAGCCAGCAGAGACUUGAAAGCUCUACGCCCCAUCCUGACACUCACACCUGUCUCCAGUGAUCGGUCUUGGAUGGGGGCACCUGAGUGUGGAGGAACGUUUGUGGCUGUGAUCAACUCUCCUUAAAGAUAUCACGUGUGGGUUUGGGUUUGAAAGUUUUGAGAGGAGUUUCAUGUCUGUAAAUGAAGGCUUCAGUUUUACUUCUUUUUUUCUAAAUCUGGAGUUCACUUCGACAACUUUUCCUAAAUUUGGCAACAAGCAGGAUACAAGUAAGGCUUGUUUUUUGUUGUGAGCAAUAGAAACUUGUGGUGACCGCCUGGUUUCAUGAAGGGGAACUCGUACAGAAAUGUGGCACUGGUGAAUAACAACCUCCACAUGAAUUGUUUCUGGUGUGGUUUCAGGGGUUUCCUUAGAAUAAUGGAGCAACAGCACUGCAGCACCAUCACGCCAUGUCCAAAACAGGAUGCAUAUUAUCAUGCAGCUUAUUUUACAAUACACAAUAAUGUUAUGAAUACGCUUGUUUUUAAAUGAUUGACUUCAUACCCAGGGAUUCUGGGUAGACCCCCGGCCUUUGAUAACCACUGGAAAGUCGUGUGUUUGCAUUUAUUGCGAUGGUCUCCAAAACAAUGCUGAUAAAUAGUGUUGAUGCUAAAUAAGCUUUUUAUUAAUGAGGCAUGGAUAAACUGAAAUACAGCGUAAUGUUGUUCAUAAAUGGGUAACAUGACAAAAGGCUUCAUAUUUGAUAAAUGAUAUAUUUAAUAUCAGCCACCGGGGAAAUAAAUCAUAAUCUGUGCCGUCUUUUAGCGCA
rnacentral:lncRNA from 1 species